ensembl:lncRNA PUS1-AS1 PUS1 antisense RNA 1
GGAGUCGAGGAGACCCGGGCCACCCGCGUCGGGACCAGAGAGGCUCGCUCCUGCCCCAUUCGCGACGCGGCUGACUGAGCCGGAGCCGGACCACGUGGGCGAAGGCGGAAGUGGAACGACCGACUGCACGGCGGCCGAGCGCGGACAAAACUAAUUCGGGAGAAGAGACAAACUCAUAUGAUCCUGGGCCCGCGCAGAUAAUCUGGCAUAAUCUCAAAAUCCUUAAUCCCAUCUCUGGGGCCACAAUUCAACCAACUACAAGCUUGAAUUUGGGGAAUGAGCCAUGGAGGUGUUGGGGAGAGCGUGUUCCUGGCAGUGCAAGAGCCAGGAGGCAGGAGACAGCCGUCUGCAGCAGCCCCACUCCCGCCCUCCAGGGGCUGUGCCUUCUCCUACAGAAGUACCAGGAGGAUCACGGCGCCCACAGCC